rnacentral:lncRNA from 1 species
CGGCUCAGAACAAGGUGUGUGUGUAAAGACACAUCCAGUGCCAGUCACCGGAGAGAUCCAGCUAAGGCCAGCAGGAGAAGGGCCUCACACCUGUUAGAAGCUCUUAUCACAGACACCUGUGGCCGGGAUGUACACACUGCUGGCAAGAAUGAGGCAUCUGCCCGUGUUUCUGACCAGCUGUCACCAUCAAGCACAGUCAGUUUUAGGCUCAUAUUUGCAGUGUGGCUUACCUUCCAUCCCUCAGCCAAGACUUGAAGACAACAAAACGAAGAAAGCUAGAUAAGAAAAUAAAUCUGAAUGAACCUAGGAAAGCGGAAGUGCUGAACUGAGCUUCUCCACACUUCCCCACCCCUUUGCAGCUGCAUGUACGGGAUCUGGUUCUGGGCUGUGGCCCAGGACAUCCCCACCUGGCCCUGCCACAUCCUCCACUGGGAUUAUACCAGCAUCACUGGGGGAGAUGAUGGGCUGGAUCAUGUUUCCAUGAAAGGGCCGAUGUCCUAGGGGAUUGUCCUGGGAGACUGGCAGAGUUUGGAGUCCAGCUCUCUCAAACCCAGGAACUCCAGAGGCCAAACUGAAGCUGGAAAUGAGAAACGAGCCUCCUCCAUACCCUGCUAAGAUCCAGAUUUUGAACCUGUAGCCCAGGAACUGUGAGAAAUUAUGUUUCUUAUUUUUAAGUCACCCCGGCUGUGGCACUUAGUGAGCAUAGCUGUAGAAAUUUAAUUGUUGUUAAUUUCUGCCUUGCUCCUGCAACACUGUACCUUCUUUCCUCUGGGACAUACUUCCUGCUCUAUGCUAAGAUUCUGAGAGAGCAGGAAAAGGUCUAUAUUCCCCCCAUGCUCCUGACUCCUGGCUUGUUAGAAGAUAUUGAUUACAUUUCUCUCCCAGAAUUGUGAUGCUUAAGCCAAAUAAAAAAUGUAAGAUAUCUGAUGUAUAAUAACAAUCAAUAAUUAGUCCGCCCCCUGGUUCAAUAAUUUCAGCCUUUUUCUGAUUAAACGUGAUGUUAAGAUCAUCACUUGCAUAUUAAUGAAAGUUUUUCAAGGGGCAUAGUAUAAUAAAAUAUUUAACUAAGAUGCAGAGUUACAUAUAUUUACUAGGCAGUAGAGUAAACAUAUGCUUAUCAAUAUAUAAAC